rnacentral:lncRNA from 1 species
GCCCAUGGGCGCUGUUUGGGUGCAGCGCAGAAGCAAUGUGGGUGCUGUGCGCUCGCAGCACAGGUGUUGUGCGGGUGCUGUGUGGGUGCUGUGCGGGUGCCGUACAGGUGCUGAGGGUGCUGUGAGCACCCACGGGUGCUGUGCAGGUGCUGUGGACGCCCAUGGGCGCUGUUCGGGUGCAACGCAGAUGCAACGUGGGUGCUGUGCGCUCGCGACGCAGGUGCUGUGUGGGUGCUGUGCAGGUGCUGAGGGUGCUGUGAGCACCCAUGGGUGCUGUGGGGGUGCUGUGGGUGCUCUGUGGGUGUUGUGAGCACCCGUGGGUGCUCUAUGGGUGCAAUGCAGAUGCGAUGCAGGUGCUCCAUGGGUGCCGUGCAGAUGCAAUGCGGGUACCAUGUGGGUGCUGAGGGCGCCACGCGGGUGCCGUGCGGGUGCUGUGAGCACCCACGGGUGCUGUGCAGGUGCUGUGGGUGCUCAGUGGGUGCUGUGAGCACCCAUGGGUGCUCCACGGGUGCAAUGUAAAUGCAACGCAGGUACCGUGCGGGUGCUGUGGGUGCAGUGCGGGUGCCGUGUGGGUGCUGAGGGCGCCGCGCGGGUGCUGUGAGCACCCACGGGUGCCCCCCACGACGCCUCUGGCGCUCAGGCCUUCGCCCGCCGGCGGGACGUGCAGGCGCUGGAGCUGGCGCACAGCCGGUACCGGCGCAGCACCGCGCACAACGGGGCGCUGGUGGCCGAGCUGACGCGGCGGGCGCAGGAUGAGGCCGCCAAGGAGGCGCUGCUGG